CUUUUUACACACAGCUCUGGUAAGACGUUGCCUACUCUUGAUCCACGCAUAGGGGGAGUUAUUGCGAACAUAGCUGAAAGUCGAUGCUGAAGAUAUAGACCGGGCGGUGAAAGCCACAAGCCUGCAAGGAAGGCCAUUGAUGAAGGACCAUGGCAAAAGAUAAUUGCUUAUGAACAGCGAAAAGCUUGCAGCUAUAGAGACAUGGGACGAUGGGAAGACUUAUGAACAAGCCAAAACAGCAGAGAUUCCAAUGCUCGCCAGAUUCUUUCGCUAUUAUGCUGGAUGGGCAGAUAAGAUUUGUGGGCUAACUAUUCCAGCCGAUGGAAACAAUCAUGUCCAGACACUGGAUGAACCAAUAGGCAUUGCUGGUCAGAACAUUUAAUGGAACUUUUAAUUUAAAGACAUAGUUAUAAUAUUUGUAUUAUAAUUUAAAGAAAUAAAAAUUACUAACAAUUUAAAGUAAACUAAACACUUUGAAAUAUUCAAUAAAAUUUAUUAUAUUUUA